UACAGAGGCCUCGAGCGUUAGGCGGAAUCACUGGGCUUAAAGCGUGUGUAGUCGGACUUCUAAGUACCUUGUGAAAUCCCACGGCUUACCCGUGGAACUGCUGGGUAUACUGGUUGUCUUGAGCCACUUAGGGGCUACCGGAACAAAUGGUGGAGCGGUGAAAUGCGUAGAUAUCAUUUGGAACGCCAGUUUUUUAAACAGGUUUCUGGGAGUGUGCUGACGCUGAGACACGAAAGCCAGGGGAGCGAACGGG
rnacentral:rRNA from 1 species